CAGGACACCCAGUUAAAUUCUAAUUGCAGGUAAAUAAUGAGUAAUCCCUUAAUGUAAGUAUAUCCCAGGAAAUGUUUGGAACAUACUUAUGCUAAAAAGUUAUUCAUUGUUCACUCGGAGUUCAAAUUUAACUGGAUAUCCUGU
rnacentral:miRNA from 10 species